GUAUGAAAUGAUAACUUCUUUGACCUGAAAUAAUAAAUUGAUUUAACCAUCAGGCAGUGCAUCAUUAAAUACAACUUUCCUGAAUCCCAGGCCAGGUAAAACCUUCCAAAUAUGUGAAUAUGGACAAGUACAUCUAUGUACAUUAUACAGAUAAUGCUGCACAUAUUAAGCAUGUAUACACACACAUACACACACGAGCACGCACAAAGAUGCUUGCAAUCUGAAAUUAAGCAUAUGCACUAGGCU
rnacentral:misc_RNA from 1 species